rnacentral:lncRNA from 1 species
AUAUAAAAACAGCUACAGGGAGCAAGAGUGCGAUGCCUGCACCGGAGUGCGGAGAGCCGGAUGCUCAAAAUUCAGGUAAGAACAUUUCAUCUGUGCCACCUGGUUCUUACUAACGUUUAUCUGGGCCUCUUCAGCGUGAUCCACAUGACUACCUCACACAAAUAGUACGUUGCUUUUUUUGGAGACAAGAAGUUGGUGAGAGAGAUGGCUUUAAACUUUCUAUGUAACUGAAAGCGGCCUUGAACUUCUGAUCCUUUCUACCCCUGCUUCCAGAGUGCCAGGAUUACAAGCCAACGCCACCACACAUACGAUAUUAAUUGUGUGCUUCAGUAGGAAAUCUACUCACUGCCUUGUUGAACCUGGGCCUUGUGCUAGGUAAGUGCUCCACCACUUAGGCGCGUCCCAGGUCUUUACCUCAACUUUCUUUAAAGUUUGGGUCAGUAGACUUGACCACAUUGUUAACAGUUUAAUAUAAAAGUGUUGCUGUUCAGUAGGAUUUGAUUUCACCCCUUUUCAAUAUUUACAGACACUUAACUCUUAGAUACUUUUGACAUUCCAACAGAUUUAGCUCUCUAUAAACAUUCCUUUGGGGGCUUUUUCUUUUAUUCUGAUAGUAAAACCUAGUAGGGGAAUGCGAAUUAAACCUGAUUCCCAAAUAAGAUAUCCUGCGGCAAUUGAAAUAUCCUGUGUGCUUAUUAUCCCCUGUAAAGUACACUUCACCCCAGGGAAUCUGCUGUAAGAGAAAAUUAAAUGUUUCCAGAGGUUUAACCAAGGAGAGAAGAACCACUCUGAAUAUGGGUGUCACCAUCCUAUCGGCUGCGGUCCUGGACUGAAUAAAGCCAAAAAAGGGGAAAGCCUAGGACCAAUGUUCACAUCUCUGCUUCCUGCCUGCAAAUGCUGCCGAUGUGACCAACUACGUCAUCUCCUGCUACCGCUACGUCAUCUCCUGCUACCGUGCCUUCCCACCUUAGACUGUGACCACCCUAGACCACCAGCCAAGAUAAACGUCCCCUCCCUUUAAGUUGCUUCUUGUCAGGUAUUUAGUCAACAGCGGUGAGAAAAGCAACUGAUGCAAUGGUGCGACACACCAGCCUGAAUAACCUUGGACUCCUGAUAGAUCUUGAUUCAUCUGUAAUCCCUGAGGCAUUCUGCAGCUAUACGAGCCAGGCAUGCAGCUUCAUCUCUGCAUCGCGGAGCAUAAGGUCUCUCCAUCGUGUAUAGACAACCUUUAUGGACAAGUGUCUGUCCACUUCCUAGUCAACACAGAAUGUUAGGUCUCAGGUAGUACAAAUAUGCAACAUGAGCUCUCAGCUGAGCUAUAGAAAGAUUUCUGGCAGUCAGAUAAGAACAAAUGUUCUUGAGGAACUCGUGAAAUGGGCUUUCUGUCCACCAAAAGGAGUCAAUUUCCUUGACCUACACACACACACACACACACACACACACACACACACACACACUAGCAUCCUGGCCCUUCUCUCCUUCCCUAAACUCCCAGGCCUGCUCCAAGUCUCCCCCAGCCACUAUCCUCCUUUUAAAUGAUUUUUAAUGAUUUUACACUCUGCCCUUGCUAG